UACAGAGGGGGCAAGCGUUAUUCGGAAUUAUUGGGCGUAAAGGGCGCGUAGGCGGCCUGGCAAGUGGAAGGUGAAAUCCCUCGGCUUAACCGAGGAACUGCCCUCCAAACUGCUUGGCUUGAGUCCGGGAGAGGUGAGUGGAAUUCCCAGUGUAGCGGUGAAAUGCGUAGAUAUUGGGAAGAACACCGGUGGCGAAGGCGGCUCACUGGCUCAUUACUGACGCUCAGGCGCGAUAGCGUGGGGAUCAAACAGG
rnacentral:rRNA from 1 species